rnacentral:misc_RNA from 1 species
AAGUCGUAACAAGGUUUCCGUAGGUGAACCUGCGGAAGGAUCAUUAAAGAGUAAUUGGGUCUCUAUGGCUCAUAACUCCCACCCUUUUGUGUUCUUUAAAAUAAAAAUUAAGUUGCCUUGGUAGGAAUAAGCCUAAGACUCUUUAACCAGAGGAAGAGGUGAGCCUACCAUUGGAACUAUUUUAAACUCUUAUCAAUUGAGUCGUCUGAGAAAAUGAAAUUCAAAUGAAUUAAAACUUUCAACAACGGAUCUCUUGGUUCUG